AAUGAACGUUGGCGGCGUGGAUUAGGCAUGCAAGUCGUACGGGUCGGUGUAGCAAUACAACGGCAAGUGGCGAAAGGGAGAGUAACACGUAGAUACCUACCCUCUGGUCGGGGAUACCGCGGCAUAACCGCAAGUAAUACCCGAUAAAAUCUCCGGAUCAAAGGUGUGAUUCCGCCGGAGGAUGGGUCUGCGUUCUAUCAGCUUGUUGGUGAGGUAAUGGCUCACCAAGGCUAAGACGGAUACGGGGUGUGAGAGCAUGCCCCCGCUCACUGGGACUGAGACACUGCCCAGACACCUACGGGUGGCUGCAGUCGAGAAUCUUCGGCAAUGGGCGCAAGCCUGACCGAGCGACGCCGCGUGCGGGAUGAAGGCCUUCGGGUUGUAAACCGCUGUCGAGGGGAAUGAAGUGUAGGUGGGUACUCCCAUCUAUUUGACAGAUCCCUGGAGGAAGCAUGGGCUAAGUUCGUGCCAGCAGCCGCGGUAA
rnacentral:rRNA from 1 species